UGCUGAGACAUUGUUUCUGUAUGGUACACACUGUCGAGGUACUGUAAUUUCUCGGUCAUUGCUUCCAGAUCAUUGUGAAUAUCUUCAGAUUCUUCUAGCAUGGUCUAGAGUGAAUUAUCAACAUCCAGGACAUUGAUAGAUGGAGAGGAAAAGGAAAGACCUUUUAUGCUGACGGGACAGCAUAAGAAAAGGCACAGAGAUCCUCAAACAGAACAACUCUGCAAUUGUUUAAGAAAGACUUCUUGAGAGGAGAGUGCAAGAUUGAUUAGAGAAGAACGAUAAAUACAGGGAAACUAAUUAGGAGCCUGUUAAAGCAUUCCCAGAAGGGGAAAAUGAGGUUUUGAUCUAGAACUCUGUCAACACAAAUGGAAAAGGGGAUGUAUUUAAAAGACGCGAGUAUACAUAAAUCAGAACAAAAAAGAAAAUCUAACAUACUUGAGGAUAUCCAUGUAACUUAAACAAGGACCAUUUU